rnacentral:rRNA from 1 species
AACGAACGCUGGCGGCAGGCUUAACACAUGCAAGUCGAGCGCCCCGCAAGGGGAGCGGCAGACGGGUGAGUAACGCGUGGGAACCUACCCCUUUCUACGGAAUAACGCAUGGAAACGUGUGCUAAUACCGUAUACGCCCUACGGGGGAAAGAUUUAGCGGAGAAGGAUGGGCCCGCGUUGGAUUAGCUAGUUGGUGGGGUAAAGGCCUACCAAGGCGACGAUCCAUAGAUGGUCUGUGAGGAUGAUCAGCCACAUUGGGACUGAGACAAGGCCCAAACGCCUACGGGAGGCAGCAGUGGGGAAUAUUGGACAAUGGGCGCAAGCCUGAUCCAGCCAUGCCGCGUGAGUGAUGAAGGCCCUAGGGUUGUAAAGCUCUUUCACCGGAGAAGAUAAUGACGGUAUCCGGAGAAGAAGCCCCGGCUAACUUCGUGCCAGCAGCCGCAGUAA